GGCGCCAUAGCUCAGUUGGAAGAGCAGAGGACUUCUAAGCCUAAGGUCGCAGGUUCGAACCCUGCUGGCGCUACCA
rnacentral:tRNA from 1 species